rnacentral:rRNA from 1 species
UACGGAGGAUGCGAGCGUUAUCCGGAUUUAUUGGGUUUAAAGGGUGCGCAGGCGGGAGAUUAAGUCGGCGGUGAAAUUUUGCAGCUCAACUGUAAAAGUGCCUUCGAAACUGGUUUCCUUGAGUGUAGAUGAAGUAGGCGGAAUUUGUGGUGUAGCGGUGAAAUGCAUAGAUAUCACGAGGAACUCCGAUUGCGCAGGCAGCUUACUAAACUACUACUGACGCUCAUGCACGAAGGCGUGGGGAUCAAACAGGAUUAGAUACCCCCGUA